rnacentral:rRNA from 1 species
UACGGAGGGUGCGAGCGUUGUCCGGAAUCAUUGGGCGUAAAGGGCGCGUAGGUGGCCCGGUCAGUUCGUGGUGAAAGCGCGGGGGCUCAACCCCUGCGUCGGCCAUGAAUACUGCCGCGGCUGGAGCACUGUAGAGGCAGGCGGAAUUCCGGGGUGUAGCGGUGGAAUGCGUAGAGAUCCGGAAGAACACCGGUGGCGAAGGCGGCCUGCU